GAGAUACGGAGAUACCAGACUGGCGUUUCUGCAUCUCUUUUAUCUCAUGUGAGCCUUCCCCUCCGCUUCGAAACCAACCACACCGGUGGUUUAUCUUUUUUUUUUUUUUUAACCUUUUUUUUUAAAUCUAGACAUACAUAUUUCCGUUCUCUUUUAAUAAUUCCUUUAUCUCUCCUUCGCGAAGAUCGAGAGGAAACAUAAACACACGCACACAAAGAAGUGCUGAGCAAUGCAAAUUCAGCGAGAACAACUCAACGUCUGAUUACACCGAGUCCAAUUUUUUUCCCCCUUCGUGCACCACCACCCCCCCCACACUCCCCCCCCGGACACACACACUUUUUCUUCAGCGCAAAUGAUGCUGUUUGAUGGACGGGGGCGGGCGGCGCGGAAGAGAAGGGGGAAAACCCUGCUCUGCCCAAGAACAGAAAUUCGUAGAAUUAAAAUUGGGAGGAGAGAAACUGGGACUUUACUUUUCCCUCCUCCCUUCCCCCGACUUUCCCCCCCGCUUCUUUGAAGCUGAGAGGAGGGCGACUGCCCCGGGACACUGCAGGAGUAAGGAAAAAAAAGGUCUGAGAAAGAUCAAAAACCGGCUCCGCAAGUCCCAGAGGCGACCUCUCCCCCCGACACAUUCCCCAAACUGCGCGGAGAGGAGCCGGGCAAAGGGGAGAAGUUGGGGGGGGGACACACACGCACCGUGUCACCCGUCUGCUCCGGGAGGGGAGGCAGAGUCCAGCUCCUUCCUCCCUCCUUCCCUCGCAGCACAGCCCCGGUUUCAAGCUCAACCUGGAUCGUUUCGAGCGGUGCGUUUGCAGGCGGACUGAAGCGAAGGCAAAAUAUCUUUCGGGUUUUAAACCGGCACCGUUUAUCUCUUACCCCAAGGAGAAGGUGAAGCUGCCGUCGGGUUUAAUGACUUUUAUUUUUCCCCCUUUUUCAAAAGCAGAAAUUACCCUGGGACUUAGAUAAAGCAGAAAACACAAAUCGCCAGGUGUUUGGCGUGAGAAGAGGCGGCAGAAUUAACACCAGCUCCUUGGCGAGGCGCUGGGGCAAAUCCUGACCUCACGGGAUUAAAAACGGAGAGAUUUGCUCCGGGAAAGUCCCGGCUGCCUCUAGUUCAGAGCAAUUCCUUCAGAGCACCCCUUCCAAAAUUUACCUCCCGUGUCCACAGCCACCCCCGCCCCGGUGCAACCCCGCACGGCACCCCUGCUCCGUAAAUGGGGGGGUCACCUUUACUGUCACAAGCUCCCAAAUUCGGAUAGUACCGGCGGAUGGGGGGAGGGCAAAAUCUGCCCGAUUUCUUUUUGCUCUAAGGCUGAGGAAUUAUCUCACCCCAAAUUCCGCUGACAUGCCCCUGUAGGCACCCCUAAAAUGCUCUUCCCCUCCCGGGCCCCAUCACUCCUGAGAUGCUGCCUGCAUCCCAGUGGGCGAGAAGAGGCCCCCAUCUGAGUCUCACACCGCACCCCACUCCCUACCUGCCCCUGGGAGGAAGCACCUCUUCGCCUUUUUUCCCUCCCUCGAAAUUAAAACACCACCCUCGGCUCUGUACUAAAAUAAAUCAAUCCCCAGGGAGAAGGAAGCGCUUUGCCCCAGCCGGGAGCGAAGUGCCGGGGGGGAAGAACUUCCCUCUCCUUUCUUCCUAAGGGCCUGUUUCUCCUUUCCUGUGCCCCCUGGCUUGCCGGGUCUCUCUCUGUCCCCCCUGCCUGCCUUGGUGGCCGGGGAUGCUGUCCCCAGUGUGCCCGGGGACCAGGGACAGGGGCCGGCCGGGGCUGUCGCCGCAGCGGCACCGCCAAGUCCCGGCUCCCCCGCUCCGCACCUGCGGCCCAUAAAUAAUGGAGAAAACAAGCAGGGCCGGUGGUUAUUAAUUAUCCGGUUGCAUUAAAAUCCGUCACCCAGAGCCCCGCUGCCUUUGUACGGACACGUGAAGGUAAGAGGAACUGGGGUGGAUGAAUGGCUGGGUAGAUGGAUACGUAGAUAUACACAUAUUUUUUUUUCCCUCUUUCUGUUUCGAAGACGCACAAUGACAGCUAACGCGCGUUUCUGGACAGCCCGAGCCAUUUCCAGGCUCCCUCCUGAAAUAAGCCCCCUGCCAAGUCUAAACAGUGGAAACAUUUUCUACGAGGAGGGAAAGGAGGAAAGACAACUAAACCCAGGAAUGCCGAGAGAAAGGGGAAAGUCUCCUCUCGUUUUUCGGGCAUCGAGUCCUGCCGAAGCCCAGGACCGAUCCCUCCGGUGCGGGGUCCCGGAGCGGAGCCACCCCUCCCUCACCUCAGCCUGUCUUUACGGCACAUCCCCCCUCCGCGGCUGGGGUAGCUGUGAUUUGGGUUUGCAAGGUAUCAAAAGAGGAAUAUCCGCAGAAAACGGGUGGAAGAUCGUCCUAAUUAGAUCAUAUUAGAAGCAUAAUGUGUUUGUUAUAUAUUAUAUUCUAUACCUAUUUUAACAUAAAAAUAUAUCGUGCUAAAUAUACGGUAUAUAUUAUGUGCUAUACAGCACGGACUGACCUAACAUAAGCAAAUCAACAUCGGUGGGUAUUAUACACAGGAAUAGUAUGGAAACGCAGACGUCCUGCUGCUCGCAGCUGAGCUAGCAUAUACCGGCACACGGACGGACACCGCUGUAUACAAAAAUAUAAGUGGUACGCGUA